rnacentral:misc_RNA from 1 species
UUGAAAACUUUGGAAGUAGUAUUGUUGCUGGCCUUCAUAAUAUGAGGGUAUGUGCACAUACUAUUUCUAAUCUUAUUCAUCCACCUGUGCAUCUAUUGUAGGAAGGUCUUUGAAAAGGGUUAACUUGUAACAGAGUUGACUUGGAUUGAGGGCUUUUCUAUGUUCUUAUAAACCUCUUGAAGUAUGUUUUUGAAUGUCUUUUAUUGGGUACUUUAUUGUUCCCUUUAAACUUGUA